GUCUGGUCUGUUUCGUUAUCAAGCCUUCUAAGAAUUUGGUUAGAUGGACAAAAAGACGAGUAAAAAGAGUGCGAAAGUUUGCUCCUUUUCGGUCAGCUUUUAGUCGCUGUAUAUAUCGUUCUGCUUCUGGCUGCUCUCGACCUGCAAGCGCAGACAAAAACAAAAUCCCUCCAGAGCCCCCACCCCACCUCUCUCUCUCUCUCUCCAGUCUCAAGCAAGAAGCUCUGAAAUUCUCUUGAGGUAAAGUGACGUGAUUUGCUUUUGCAUCUGAGAUCUGAUCUCCCAUUGACUUUCUCCCUCUCUCUCGCGAAUUUGGUCUUCCUCCUCCUCCUCCGCUGACUUUUUGCCCGGCACACUCCUCGUAUGGUUUCGGUUAGAUUUCGUUCCUGUCGAGAAUGCCCGCGAUCGAGAGGAAACACGUGAGGCGGGUUUCGCCCCUCUUUGUGGUGUUCGGGCUCGUUUUCCUUUUCGCCGCUUAUAAUUUGCUGCACAUGGUAAUGCACAACAAGGGUCCCAACCCGGGGGCCGCCGUGACCGACGCAUUGGGAAUGUCCGAUCCCGUCACCGGGUUGCGAUACCAUGUUGCCGUGACGGCGACCGACGCUCCUUAUAGUCAGUGGCAGUGCCGAAUUAUGUACUAUUGGUACAAGAAGGUCAGGGACAUGCCCGGGUCGGACAUGGGCAACUUCACCCGGAUUCUGCACUCGGGGAGAACUGAUCACUUGAUGGAGGAGAUGCACACUUUCGUGGUCGACCCUCUUCCUGAUGGGCUGGAUCGAGGUUAUAUUGUCUUAAACAGACCAUGGGCUUUUGUGCAAUGGCUAGAAAGUGCAACUAUUGAGGAAGAGUAUAUUCUAAUGGCGGAGCCGGACCACAUAUUUGUAAGUCCUUUCCCUAACUUGGCAAAGGGAAGCCACCCAGCGGGAUACCCAUUCUUCUACAUCAAACCGGCUGAAAAAGCAAAAAUCAUUAGGAAGUUUUACCCCAAAGAAAAGGGUCCUUUAACUGAUAUCGAUCCCAUUGGCAAUUCUCCAGUAAUUAUUCAAAAGUCUAUUUUGGAGGAAAUUGCGCCUACAUGGAUGAAUGUCUCUUUGAGAAUGAAGGAAGAUCCCGAAACUGAUAAAGCCUUUGGAUGGGUGCUAGAAAUGUAUGGUUAUGCUGUAGCAUCUGCUCUCCACAAGGUGAAGCAUAUUCUUCGGAAGGACUUCAUGCUGCAGCCACCAUGGGAUCUAGAAGUUGGAAAGAGCUUCAUAAUUCAUUACACUUAUGGCUGCGACUAUUCUAUGAAGGGUGAGCUGACAUAUGGCAAGAUUGGAGAAUGGCGCUUCGACAAGAGAUCCUAUCUUAGUGGUCCACCUCCAAGAAAUCUUUCUUUGCCUCCGCCAGGUGUUCCUGAAAGUGUGGUCCGACUGGUGAAGAUGGUGAAUGAGGCCACUGCUAAUAUUCCCAAGUGGGAAACGCUAAAUAGAAGCUAACCUGCUAUGUGAGAAACAUUACAGAACUGCACAUAUCCUCUUAUUGCUAUUUUUUGCUGGUGGUCUUAAGGAACGACCCUGCAGUGAUCGAACAUCGCAGAAAAGAAUCGGCGGCUCAGGCAACUAAACAAACCGCUCAAGCCACACCAUAGAUCUAUUCAAUGCCGGGACAGUUAUACAAUACUGGUUAAUUUCCUUUUUCUGUAUAAAACAGUUGUACUGCUGGACACGGCAAAAGUUUUGAGAGGUUCGGAGGGUUGUGUCAACUGAAUGUCUGGUCAGACACAAUGUAGAAUGGUUUGGUCGGAUGGGGAUUAACUGAUGAACAUUUGUAAGUUACUGUGCAAAAUCCUAAGAACAAAAGAGAAGGACAAGUAGCAUGAAAAAUAUGUGCUAUCACCUGUGCAAUUGUGAAGCAAGAGAACUUGGAAACAGUAAUGUCCUUCCUCUGUUGCUCACUUUUUUGUUACAGGGAUUUGAUGGUCUUGUGGUGAGUGAAGGCCUCAUCUUCACGAUCUGCUCUCCAUCAACACCCAUUUUCUUGGCAUAAAGACCCGCCUCAAAGAAGCUCUUGACUGCAUCCUCCAUGUACUCCUUCCCUUCUCUGACGGUCAUCUCCUUCCCGAGCCUCUCGGGGUAACUUGUGAAAAUGUGAUCACCUUUCAGCACUGCUGCAAGCUGCAAGAGCUCCUGCUGGAAUUCACUUGGCUCGGCAUCUUCAUUAGCCUCGCCUUUCCCGAUCUUGUUUGGGGUCGGGAGUUGCUCUGUUGGCAUGUUAAACUACAAAUCACACAUGUUUACUUAAAGGCACUAGGCUAUGCAUUUGUGAUGUCGGUUCUGUAAUCACGUGCUUACGCAUAGAGAAGCAAUCACCACUGUUGCAUUUAACAUAUACAUGACUUGGAUCUUUGUUCUGGCUAUGUGGGAAUAAUCAGUACAUUUGUCAA